AGCCACGCGGUGGGCACAGAGCGAACUAUUCUUUCGCCUUUUACUAAAGAAUACCGUGUGCUCGCCGCAUGGGGUGGCAUACGCCAAUUUUUGAAGGGCCUUUCCUUCCCUGGAAAGC
rnacentral:snRNA from 2 species